rnacentral:rRNA from 1 species
GACGAACGCUGGCGGCAUGCCUAACACAUGCAAGUCGAACGGAGAUUAUUUCGGUAAUCUUAGUGGCGAACGGGUGAGUAACGCGUAGGCAACCUGCCCUUUAGUUGGGGACAACAUUCCGAAAGGGGUGGCUAAUACCGAAUGUGACAGUUUUCUUCGCAUGAGAUUACUGUGAAAGAAUGGCCUCUAUUUAUAAGCUAUCGCUAAAGGAUGGGCCUGCGUCUGAUUAGCUAGUUGGUGGGGUAACGGCCUACCAAGGCGAUGAUCAGUAGCCGGUCUGAGAGGAUGAACGGCCACAUUGGGACUGAGACACGGCCCAGACUCCUACGGGAGGCAGCAGUGGGGAAUCUUCCGCAAUGGGCGAAAGCCUGACGGAGCAAUGCCGCGUGAGUGAUGAAGGGAUUCGUUCCGUAAAGCUCUUUUGUUUAUGACGAAUGUGCAGACUGUGAAUAAUGGUUUGUAAUGACGGUAGUAAACGAAUAAGCCACGGCUAACUACGUGCC